AAGAAACUAUACUUUUGUAAAUGAAUGUGGGGGAAAUUGGCAAAAUUCAAUUAAUAAGGAGAAGACAACAGAUUGAUGUCAAAUUCUGGCUAAAGAGAACCAAAACUGGGAAAAAUUAACAACAACCCAAUAUCAGUAAAUGGCAGAAAAACAAAAAAGUUAACUUAAAAAAAAUGACCUACACCUGAGAGAAGUGGUAUUGAUUCUUGAAAAUGAAAUAAUACUUAUGUAUAAUUAGUCUGUAAUUUUAAGCCUAACAAUUGACUGUUAAUAUAGUAAUUGACACUUUAGGGAAG
rnacentral:lncRNA from 1 species